rnacentral:lncRNA from 1 species
GUGCAAGAUGCCGCAGGCACAAGCUUGUCGUUGGCACAAAGAUGAGAAGAGUUUGAUGCCGUAGGCAAGAGAUCGCCACUGGCACACAAUGCCACUUGUAAGAGAUAACUAAUCAGGUGCUAGAGGAAGAAUAAAAAAGAUAGCGUAUGGAUCGAGGCAUCAUGUCAAUAAUACUCCUUUCAUCUAAUUCUCAGAUUCAGGAGUAGAGGGAUAUGUUACGGUGGUAUCAUAGAUGCCUCAGAUUUACAGUUCUAUAAGCUAUAACUAUAUUAUGAAGAGGCAUGCUGUGAAGAGCUACCUUCAUAUGAGCUGAACUGACCUUGAUAUGAGUUCCUCUAUGCUGAUACAAGGUAUCCUGAGCAUCUAUACUGAUAUGAGUUGAAGUCAAAAGCAAUAAAUGUUCCC